rnacentral:rRNA from 1 species
UGGGGAAUUUUGGACAAUGGGGGAAACCCUGAUCCAGCCAUCCCGCGUGUGCGAUGAAGGCCUUCGGGUUGUAAAGCACUUUUGGCAGGAAAGAAACGUCAUGGGUUAAUACCCCGUGAAACUGACGGUACCUGCAGAAUAAGCACCGGCUAACUACGUGCCAGCAGCCGCGGUAAUACGUAGGGUGCAAGCGUUAAUCGGAAUUACUGGGCGUAAAGCGUGCGCAGGCGGUUCGGAAAGAAAGAUGUGAAAUCCCAGAGCUCAACUUUGGAACUGCAUUUUUAACUACCGGGCUAGAGUGUGUCAGAGGGAGGUGGAAUUCCGCGUGUAGCAGUGAGAUGCGUAGAUAUGCGGAGGUACACCGAUGGCGAAGGCAGCCUCCUGGGAUAACACUGACGCUCAUGCACGAAAGCGUGGGGAGCAAACAGG